GUUCUAACCCUGGAGGCAGAAAGAUCUUUCUAAAGUAAAAAUGAGAACCUCACACUCUUGCUGAAAAUCCUGCAAUGCUGCCCAUCAUCCCAAGCUUGUACGUUUUUAUGAAACAACUUGCCAUGCGGGAGGGAUUUACAUGCCAAGGAGCUGAGGGUGGUUGCUGGCCAACAGCCAGCAAGGAACUGAGAGCCUCAGUGAACUGGAUCCUGCCAACCAUCAUAAACCCAGAGACUUAGCAGACAGACCCCCAGUUGGCUGGACGUCGAGAGGAACUCAUCAGUGGAGGAGCACAUGGGCAUGCCAGCAGGCCAUCAGGCCAUCAACGGUGGAAGGAGGUGAAGUUUGGCCUGGGCAGUCGGAAGAGAGCCCAAGUGGCUGAGUGGCCUGACUCCAGGGGAAAAUCAACUCCCUUCUGGCUCCCCGAUCUGC